CAGCCGCCACGGGAAUACGUAGGGUGCGAGCGUUAAUCGGAAUUACUGGGCGUAAAGCGUGCGCAGGCGGUUUGUUAAGACAGAUGUGAAAUCCCCGGGCUCAACCUGGGAACUGCAUUUGUGACUGGCAAGCUAGAGUGUGGCAGAGGGGGGUGGAAUUCCGCGUGUAGCAGUGAAAUGCGCAGAUAUGCGGAGGAACACCGAUGGCGAAGGCAGCCCCCUGGGCCAACACUGACGCUCAUACACGAAAGCGUGGGGAGCAAACAGGAUUAGAUACCCCAGUAGUCCCUGUCUCUUAUAC
rnacentral:rRNA from 1 species